GACUGUUUAUCAAAAACACAGGUCUCUGCUAAACCGUAAGGUGAUGUAUAGGGGCUGACGCCUGCCCGGUGCUGGAAGGUUAAGAGGAGUGGUUAGCUUCUGCGAAGCUACGAAUCGAAGCCCCAGUAAACGGCGGCCGUAACUAUAACGGUCCUAAGGUAGCGAAAUUCCUUGUCGGGUAAGUUCCGACCCGCACGAAAGGCGUAACGAUUUGGGCACUGUCUCAACGAGAGACUCGGUGAAAUCAUAGUACCUGUGAAGAUGCAGGUUACCCGCGACAGGACGGAAAGACCCCGUGGAGCUUUACUGUAGCCUGAUAUUGAAAUUCGGCACAGCUUGUACAGGAU
rnacentral:rRNA from 1 species